UAAGCAAGUGGCACCAUGAAGAUCAAGGAGCUCUCCAAACAGGUUGUCUCAUACUCCUCCUUGGGACGGUGAUGUUCCCCAGCCUGCCUCCAGGGUCCUUUACCGUCCAGGAUUUCCUCCCCAGUCCAUGAGUCCCCCUUACCACGCUGCUUGGUCCUUUGGUGGUGGGUAGUUCUGUCACGGCCGUUGAAUGAAGAGGACCAAGAUUCAGCGUGCAGGUGAGCCACCAGGGGGAGACUCGUCAAGGUCUGGUGACAGACGGAGAAUAUAUCACGAGGCGAUAGCUCCAUCUGCUGGACGUGCCAGGUCUAGACGGGCUCUCCACCCAGGACUAAUUGGGGCUGAUUGGGGAGUUGGUGAGUAAUCAAGGGCUGAUUGUUCACCAGCUGUACAAGCCCCAUAAAACUGCCAGAAGGGCAGCACACAGGAGAGGACUGGGGGAAGAA